rnacentral:lncRNA from 1 species
CUGCCACUGAGGGAGGGUUUCUUUCUGGAGAUCCCUCUUUGAUGAAGCUUUUCCCUGUAAACCUCAACUUUUCUGAUACAGAGCCUGUGCUGACAUGUGGAACUACGGAGGUUAAUGCUAGAAUGGAGAUCCCAAUACUACUGAAAAGUGAUGAGAGGAGGUGGGGGGAUCUGUGCCUACUGGAGGCCUUCCAAAGAUCUUUAUAAUUAAAAGAAGCAGCAUGUGGAAAGCUAAAAGCCAUGUAAUCCCUGCAACCCAGCGGAAGUUACAGGAAACUAAGACUGGAGUAUGAUAACAGCAUAACUGGUGCAUGUGGUCCUGGGCUGUAUGCCAAAACAAAGAGGAGAGUGCGGGCAGGGGAAAGUAGGAAUAGCUGGAACGAAAAAGGUCAUGUUCUCAGAACUGUAAAGGGCUGGAUCUCUGGUGUCAAUCAUCUCAGUACCUGGGUCAAAAGAGCUGCCAGUUACCAGCUUAUGGCCUGACACAGCUCAGCUGUAUUGGAUAUAAACAUGUGCAUGGCAGAAAUAAGAAUGUGCCUCUAUUUCUUUUCUGCAAGAAUAAAGGAUGGCACAAAAAAACUCAAGGCAACCUGCAAAGCAAACAAAAUCCUUGAAUUUUACUUGCUAUUUGUUAGUAUUUAACCAUGCAAUCUUCUACUUACAAGAAUAUUUCUGGGAAGAGAAGACUGAAAUCUGUACACUGUGUUUGCAUGACUACUUGCACAUUACUUUGUGUUCUCAGUGUGGUUCAAAUCAUGCAGUGAGCCACAAGUGGAUACUGUAUAGGUUGGGAGAAUGGACAUGAAGUGGUUGGUGACUGAAUUGGCUGCCUUAAAAUUGUCAAUUAACUCAUGCUACCAGAAGUUCAAGUAGUGGAAAAGAAGUUCACUUCUAAACUCAGUCUGAUGUAUUUUUUUUAAAGCAGAAAUUCUAGGAAAAAGUUCAGUGAAGUUCUGUUGUCACAGGCAAUUUCUUACAUAAGAUCUCAAGAUGUUUUGUAAAAUCAAUUAGAACCAUGACUUCGUAGAUGAGCGUGCUCAAAAAAUCUGAACUGCAACUUUUGCAAAUCCAUUUAUGCUCCAUAUCCUUCCCAAUGCAGUUGAUCACUUUUCAGGAUUAGUUCCACUGAAUUAAACAGAAUCAAUUAUAGAAUAAGGAAGUACAGUGUCAUGCAGAGACCUGGGUAAGAUAACGUUGUAGAUGUGUCAAUCGGUUGUGUUUUGCUAAGUAAUGCAAAUGUAAGGGGAUG